CAGCAGCCACGGGAAUACGUAGGGUGCGAGCGUUAAUCGGAAUUACUGGGCGUAAAGCGUGCGCAGGCGGUUUGUUAAGACGGAUGUGAAAUCCCCGAGCUUAACUUGGGAACUGCAUUUGAAACUGGCAAGCUAGAGUCUUGUAGAGGGGGGUAGAAUUCCAGGUGUAGCGGUGAAAUGCGUAGAGAUCUGGAGGAAUACCGGUGGCGAAGGCGGCCCCCUGGACAAAGACUGACGCUCAGGUGCGAAAGCGUGGGGAGCAAACAGGAUUAGAUACCCCUGUAGUCCCUGUCUCUUAUAC
rnacentral:rRNA from 1 species